AUUACUUUGCCUUCAUCUAGAUCUCCCACACUAAUUUGUUCAAAUCAAACUCUUGCACAGUAGCAGCAAGUAAAAGGAGGCAGCCCUGGGAGACCCAAGAGUGAAGUGAAAUCCACUGUGCUUCUGAACUAACUCAAACCACGGCUAUAACGCUCUAGACUUAGGAGUCCAAGGGCUUGYGUGCACACUGAAAUUGCAAUCCAGYGCGUCAGAGCAGUGAAGGCAGACACAACCUUGCGAGGGGGCCUGGAACAACAAGAGGAUGCCUCUGCCAGGAGGGUGUGUGUCUGGGUUUGUCAGUGGGAGAAGAGGAGAACUGCUCAAGAUGAGCUUGCACCCCAGCACUGAGUAAAUGUAGCACUUCUUAAG
rnacentral:lncRNA from 1 species